rnacentral:rRNA from 1 species
UGGGGAAUCUUGGACAAUGGGGGCAACCCUGAUCCAGCCAUGCCGCGUGAGUGAUGAAGGCCUUAGGGUCGUAAAGCUCUUUCGCCUGUGAAGAUAAUGACGGUAGCAGGUAAAGAAACCCCGGCUAACUCCGUGCCAGCAGCCGCGGUAAUACGGAGGGGGUUAGCGUUGUUCGGAAUUACUGGGCGUAAAGCGCACGUAGGCGGACCAGAAAGUUGGGGGUGAAAUCCCGGGGGCUCAACCCCGGAACUGCCUCCAAAACUAUUGGUCUAGAGUUCGAGAGAGGUGAGUGGAAUUCCAAGUGUAGAGGUGAAAUUCGUAGAUAUUUGGAGGAACACCAGUGGCGAAGGCGGCUCACUGGCUCGAUACUGACGCUGAGGUGCGAAAGUGUGGGGGAGCAAACAGGAUUAGAUACCCUGGUAGUCCACACCGUAAAACGAUGGAAUGCCAGUCGUCGGGUAGCAUGCUAUUCGGUGACACACCU